AACGAACGCUGGCGGCAGGCCUAACACAUGCAAGUCGAGCGAGCAUUUCGGUGCUAGCGGCGGACGGGUGAGUAACGCGUGGGAACGUGCCCUUUUCUGCGGAAUAGUCCUGGGAAACUGGGGGUAAUACCGCAUACGCCCUUUUGGGGAAAGAUUUAUCGGAGAAGGAUCGGCCCGCGUUGGAUUAGGUAGUUGGUGGGGUAAUGGCCCACCAAGCCGACGAUCCAUAGCUGGUUUGAGAGGAUGAUCAGCCACACUGGGACUGAGACACGGCCCAGACUCCUACGGGAGGCAGCAGUGGGGAAUCUUAGACAAUGGGGGCAACCCUGAUCUAGCCAUGCCGCGUGAGUGAUGAAGGCCUUAGGGUUGUAAAGCUCUUUCAGCGGGGAAGAUAAUGACGGUACCAGCAGAAGAAGCCCCGGCUAACUCCGU
rnacentral:rRNA from 1 species